AGUGAACGCUGGCGGUAGGCCUAACACAUGCAAGUCGAACGGCAGCACAGUAAGAGCUUGCUCUUACGGGUGGCGAGUGGCGGACGGGUGAGGAAUAAAUCGGAAUCUACUUUUUCGUGGGGGAUAACGUAGGGAAACUUACGCUAAUACCGCAUACGACCUACGGGUGAAAGCAGGGGAUCUUCGGACCUUGCGCGAUUGAAUGAGCCGAUGUCGGAUUGGCUAGUUGGCGGGGUAAAGGCCCACCAAGGCGACGAUCCGUAGCUGGUCUGGGAGGAUGAUCAGACACACUGGAACAGAGACACGGACCCGAGGUCUACGCGAGGCAGCGGUGGGGAAUAAUGGACAAUGGGCGAAUGCCUGAUCCAGUCAUACAGCGUCGGUGAAGAAGGCAUUCGGGUUGUAAAGUCGUUUUGUUGGGAAAGAAAAGCAGCAGGUUAAUACCCCGCUGUUCUGACGGUACCCAAAGAAUAAGCACCGGCUAACUUCGUG
rnacentral:rRNA from 1 species